CAGUAGCCGCGGUAAUACGAAGGGGGCUAGCGUUGUUCGGAAUUACUGGGCGUAAAGGGCGCGUAGGCGGCCAUUCAAGUUAGAUGUGAAAGCCCUGGGCUCAACCUAGGAAUUGCAUUUGAUACUGUUUGGCUUGAGUUCGGGAGAGGUGAGUGGAACUGCGAGUGUAGAGGUGAAAUUCGUAGAUAUUCGCAAGAACACCAGUGGCGAAGGCGGCUCACUGGUCCGGUACUGACGCUGAGGUGCGAAAGCGUGUGGAGCAAACAGGAUUAGAUACCCCAGUAGUCCCUGUCUCUUAUAC
rnacentral:rRNA from 1 species